AGCGAACGCUGGCGGCAGGCCUAACACAUGCAAGUCGAACGAACCUUUCGGGGUUAGUGGCGGACGGGUGAGUAACACGUGGGAACGUGCCUUUAGGUUCGGAAUAACUCAGGGAAACUUGUGCUAAUACCGAAUGUGCCCUUCGGGGGAAAGAUUUAUCGCCUUUAGAGCGGCCCGCGUCUGAUUAGCUAGUUGGUUGAGGUAAUGGCUCACCAAGGCGACGUUCAGUAGCUGGUCUGAGAGGAUGAUCAGCCACAUUGGGACUGAGACACGGCCCAAACUCCGACGGAGGGGAGCAGUGGGGAAUAUUGCGGGAUGGGGGAAAGCCUGACGCAGCCAUGCCGCGUGAAUGAUGAAGGGCUUAGGAAUGUAAAAUUCUUUGUCCGGGGACGAGAAUGACGGUAACCGGAAAAGAAGCCCCGGCUAACUUCGUG
rnacentral:rRNA from 1 species